UACGUAGGGCGCAAGCGUUAUCCGGAAUUAUUGGGCGUAAAGAGCUCGUAGGCGAUUUGUCGCGUCUGCCGUGAAAGUCCGGGGCUCAACUCCGGAUCUGCGGUGGGUACGGGCAGACUAGAGUGAUGUAGGGGAGACUGGAAUUCCUGGUGUAGCGGUGAAAUGCGCAGAUAUCAGGAGGAACACCGAUGGCGAAGGCAGGUCUCUGGGCAUUAACUGACGCUGAGGAGCGAAAGCAUGGGGAGCGAACAGG
rnacentral:rRNA from 1 species